rnacentral:rRNA from 1 species
UAAGGAAUAUUGGUCAAUGGACGCAAGUCUGAACCAGCCAUGCCGCGUGAAGGAUGAAGGUCCUCUGGAUUGUAAACUUCUUUUAUCUGGGACGAAAACGGGAUUUUUAUCUCAAUUGACGGUACCAGCGGAAUAAGCACCGGCUAACUCCGUGCCAGCAGCCGCGGUAAUACGGAGGGUGCGAGCGUUAUCCGGAUUUACUGGGUUUAAAGGGUGCGUAGGUGGGCUUAUAAGUCAGUGGUGAAAUCUCCGAGCUUAACUUGGAAACUGCCGUUGAUACUAUAGGUCUUGAAUUAUCUGGAGGGAAGCGGAAUAUGUCAUGUAGCGGUGAAAUGCUUAGAUAUGACAGAGAACACCAAUUGCGAAGUCAGCUUACUACAUAUAAAUUGACGCUGAGGCACGAAAGCGUGGGG